rnacentral:rRNA from 1 species
UGGGGAAUAUUGCGCAAUGGACGAAAGUCUGACGCAGCGACGCCGCGUGAGGGAUGAAGGUUUUCGGAUCGUAAACCUCUGUCAGGAGGGAAGAAAGCGCAUGGCGCCAAUCAGCCAUGCGUUGACGGUACCUCCAAAGGAAGCGCCGGCUAACUCCGUGCCAGCAGCCGCGGUAAUACGGAGGGCGCGAGCGUUAAUCGGAAUUACUGGGCGUAAAGCGCGCGUAGGCUGUUGUGUAAGUUGGGGGUGAAAUCCCACGGCUCAACCGUGGAACAGCCCUUGAUACUGCGCGACUUGAAUCCG